rnacentral:rRNA from 1 species
AGACGUCUACAUUAGAUACCCCCUGUAGUCCAGGGUGUAAACGCUGCAGACUUGGUGUUGGAGGCCCUUUGGGGGCAUUCAGUGCCGGAGAGAAGUUGUUAAGUCUGCUACUUGGGGAGUACGUCCGCAAGGAUGAAACUUAAAGGAAUUGGCGGGGGAGCACAACAACGGGUGGAGCCUGCGGUUUAAUUGGACUCAACGCCGGACAACUCACCGGGAACGACAGCAAUAUGUAGGCCAGGCUGAAGACCUUGCCUGAAUCGCUG